CAUGCUGCUCACCAUCUGCGCUCUGCUCCCUGCUCUGGCAGUGGUCAGCUCACAGAAAGUAGUGACGCAAAAGCCUCCAGUUAUAACAGUAGAUAAGGGGAACUCUGUCACUAUGGACUGUAACAUCGCGAAGGAUGAAGGCCGCCAUGUGUACUGGUAUAAACAGAUUCCACCAGCAGCUCCAGAGUUUGUUUUGAGAUUGUAUCAUUCUCACUCCGCUCCUGAUAAAUACGGAGACAAUUUUUCAUCCACACGCUUCACAUCUAAAGCCUCAUCAAAGAUCGACUAUCAGUUAAUAAUCAGUAAUGUGGAGGUGGGAGACUCAGCAGUGUAUUACUGUGAGACAUGGGAUCACUCUGCUAAUCAGUACGUAACACAGUGAUGUACACCGUGACAAAAACCUCCUCACUGCUCACACUCACUUCUGCUUUCACACAACACGAGAAACAACAAAAACCUGAACUUCAAACUCACUGGAAAUUAAGUGCAAACAAAUGUUUAAUGAAGAAACUUUACAAAUUUUUUACAUGUUUAAAGUUAGAGUUUAAGCUGUCGUUUCAGGUUUAUGAAAGCAUAAAGUGGUCCAUGAUCAUAUCUGUGAUCUCGUUUUUUUGGCUGAGAUCUACUUUCCCUUUGAUAUUAGUACUUAGUCACAGCUCCUGUCCGGUACGUACUUGGGAUGGCUGGAAUCUUUUAUUCAGUAAAAUUCUUCACUACUUCUGGACAAACAAACUCAGCUUAAGCAACUGCUGGACCUUCAUAAUAAAUUCCGAGGUUGUUUCUUCAUCCUUGUGUGGUCAAUCAUCCUCUUCGGGCACACACACUUUUACCAACAUGUUAAAUUACUGCUUUGACGGUUACACAGGGGAUGAACUCUUUCAGAAACAGUAAUGAAAAUAUGAAGUUCCUGAGAUCUUUAAUUUAUUUUUAUUUUUUAAAAAUACUACAUACGAAAACUGACAACUUGUUCCAUUCAUCCAUCUAGGGACCUUUGUAGUCCAAUUACGUAUUGUGGAGGCUGAUGGUGAUUAUUAUUGUAUUUAUUUCCAUUUUAUGACUGUAGUAGUACUUUUGGUCAACAUUCACACACUACAGGCAAUUUGGGAACAUUAAUUAACCCAAUCUGCAUGUCUUUGGACUAUGGGAGGAAACCGGAGUACCCGGAAGAAACCCACCAAGCCCUGGAAAACAAACACACAGUACUGUACAAACUCCAUGCACACAGACCCUGAGGGGGAAAUCGAACCUUCGACUCCAGAUGUGCAAGGUGACAGUGCUACUGUAACCAUUAAGCCACGUCUGCAGCAGAUGUUAACAUAAUUAUAUAAACUUAUCAUGCUGCAAGAAAACAACCCACAACAUACACUAACACAACAAAUGACUUCAUUAGAAGUAAA